rnacentral:rRNA from 1 species
GACGAACGCUGGCGGCGUGCCUAAUACAUGCAAGUAGAACGCUGAAGGAGGAGCUUGCUCUUCUGGAUGAGUUGCGAACGGGUGAGUAACGCGUAGGUAACCUGCCUGGUAGCGGGGGAUAACUAUUGGAAACGAUAGCUAAUACCGCAUAACAGUAGAUGUUGCAUGACAUUUACUUAAAAGGUGCAAUUGCAUCACUACCAGAUGGACCUGCGUUGUAUUAGCUAGUUGGUGGGGUAACGGCUCACCAAGGCGACGAUACAUAGCCGACCUGGGAGGGUGAUCGGCCGCACUGGGACUGAGACACGGCCCAGACUCCUACGGGAGGCAGCAGUAGGGAAUCUUCGGCAAUGGACGGAAGUCUGACCGAGCAACGCCGCGGGAGUGAAGAAGGGUUUCGGAUCGUAAAGCUCUGUUGUAAGAGAAGAACGAGUGUGAGAGUGGAAAGUUCACACUGUGACGGUAUCUGACCAGAAAGGGACGGCUAACUACGUG